GGCAGUGGUGACUUAGCGGUUAAGGCUCUUGGUUUCUGAUCGGAAGGUCUGGGGUUCAAGCCCCAGCACUUCCA